rfam:Rattus norvegicus chromosome 10, whole genome shotgun sequence.
GGGGAUUUAGCUCAGUGGUAGAGCGCUUGCCUAGGAAGCGCAAGCGCAAGGCCCUGGGUUCGGUCCCCAGCUCCG